GGGGAAUCUUGGACAAUGGGCGAAAGCCUGAUCCAGCCAUGCCGCGUGAGUGAAGAAGGCCUUAGGGUUGUAAAGCUCUUUCAUCAGGGAAGAUAAUGACGGUACCUGAAGAAGAAGCCCCGGCUAACUCCGUGCCAGCAGCCGCGGUAAUACGGAGGGGGCUAGCGUUGUUCGGAAUCACUGGGCGUAAAGCGCACGUAGGCCGACUGUUAAGUCGGGGGUGAAAGCCUGGAGCUCAACUCCAGAACUGCCUCCGAUACUGGUAGUCUUGAGUCCGAGAGAGGUGAGUGGAAUUCCCAGUGUAGAGGUGAAAUUCGUAGAUAUUGGGAAGAACACCAGUGGCGAAGGCGGCUCACUGGCUCGGUACUGACGCUGAGGUGCGAAAGCGUGGGGAGCAAAC
rnacentral:rRNA from 1 species